rnacentral:rRNA from 1 species
CACUAUGCCUAGCCAUAAACAUUGAUAGUAAACUACACCCACUAUCCGCCCGGGGACUACGAGCACCAGCUUGAAACCCAAAGGACUUGGCGGUGCUUUAGAUCCACCUAGAGGAGCCUGUUCUAGAACCGAUUACCCCCGUUCAACCUCACCUUUCCUUGUUUCUCCCGCCUAUAUACCACCGUCGUCAGCUUACCCUGUGAAGGACUCAUAGUAAGCAAGAUUGGCACAGCCCAAAACGUCAGGUCGAGGUGUAGCGUAUGGAAAGGGAAGAAAUGGGCUACAUUCACUACCAUAGUGUAAUACGAACGAUGCACUGAAAUACGUAUCUGAAGGAGGAUUUAGCAGUAAGCAGAAAAUAGAGCGUUCCGCUGAAACUGGCCCUGAAGCGCGCACACACCGCCCGUCACUCUCCCCAAGCUUACUAACUCUAAGUACCUAAGACCCUAAAACUGCAAAGGGGAGGCAAGUCGUAA